AGUGAACGCUGGCGGUAGGCCUAACACAUGCAAGUCGAACGGCAGCACAGUAAGAGCUUGCUCUUACGGGUGGCGAGUGGCGGACGGGUGAGGAAUACAUCGGAAUCUACUUUUUCGUGGGGGAUAACGUAGGGAAACUUACGCUAAUACCGCAUACGACCUACGGGUGAAAGCAGGGGAUCUUCGGACCUUGCGCGAUUGAAUGAGCCGAUGUCGGAUUAGCUAGUUGGCGGGGUAAAGGCCCACCAAGGCGACGAUCCGUAGCUGGUCUGAGAGGAUGAUCAGCCACACUGGAACGGAGAGACGGUCCAGACUCCUACGGGAGGCAGCAGUGGGGAAUAUGGGACAAUGGGCGCAAGCCUGAUCCGGCCAUACCGCGUGGGUGAAGAGGGCCUUCGGGUUGUAAAGCCCUUUUGUUGGGAAAGAAAAGCAGCAGGUUAAUACCCCGCUGUUCUGACGGUACCCAAAGAAUAAGCACCGGCUAACUUCGUG
rnacentral:rRNA from 1 species